AAAAAACUUUUUAAAAACCAAUAAAUUUUCAAUUGUUUUUAAAUAUAAUUGGGUAGUUGCAGUCAAAAAGGAGCCCAGAGUGACAGUUUCCCGACGGUCGCUGUUCUAUUUAACACUGUAAUAGAACCGCAACAUUAUGGGAAAAGACAGAA